CCAAUUCGAAGAGAAUGAGAUUGCGAACUACCUUAUUUUAAAUAUGUGAACUAGUAAAGCUGAAACUAUUAACUAUGCGAUUCUUACAGACAUACAUCCCAUAGUUCAAUAAUCUAACAAUUGGUUCACAUUAAACAUGAAUACUGAAUUGACUAAUUUUCGCGCCAUUUCAAGGAUCGUAGUUUCAUAAUCUAACAUUAUGCUUCAGUCAACUGCUAAUCAGUGAACUUAUUAAUGGAAACAAUCCUAAUUAUACAUACCUCUACCAUUCGUAUAACAUGAAAAUAUAUAACUAAUAUCUAACUAAAAUAUAAAUAUUCUAUUUCUAAACAUAUAAAUUUCUGGCCAUUUCAUUUCAGCUUCAAAGCGUAUAAAAGUGGUGCACCUGGUAUUGGAAUACAAGUAAAAGAAAAGGAUGAGAAUAAAGCAACAGUAGAAACAUCACAUCAACAUGCAGUAACCAGCAAUAGUAAUGCAAUAGCCCAGAAACAGAUUUGGAAACCCGUCGGACAAACUUAAAAAACCAGUGGAACAGCAAUCCAAAAACAACCAAACUCAGGAAAACCAAACGCAAACCCAAAAAUACCAAUAUCACUCACUGGCAUAACAGAAUGAACUAGAAACAAAAGGAAUCAAUAGUUUAUGAAUUCGAACAGUCAAAGAAAGAAGUUUGAAGCUUCAAUGAAACAAUAGCAAUUAGGGCUGAUUUCAAUAGUGAAAGAAAAUAGAAUUUCUCAGUUUUUUAGCUCUCCCAAAUCUGAAGUUCUUCAGAUUCAAAAGUCUCUCCCUUUUAGUCCCAAAUGACCUCUAUCUUAUACACAAAGCAAGACCAUUUCCUUUCUUUUUACCUAUUAUCACUACCCCUUUUAUUAUUACCUUUUUCUAAAUACCCCGACUUCUUUCUUACUUUCCAGCCCAAUAUUCCUCUAACUAUGUGUAUCUUUUAACUUUUAUUACUACCUACUAUUUGCUAAUUUCUAAUUAGCAGAAAACUAACUAGGCCCACCCCCUUAUCAAGUGUCUUGUGUCAUUUUUAAUUCAAAGUUAUAAGUACCUAUUUAUUUAAUCAAUCCCUUUACUUCCCCAUUAAGUUUGUGCCCCACUAUCACUUAAUUCAAAUUAAAGCACAUUAGCACCCCACUUGACAGACCCCUUAGUCAAACCAAUUUUUCUUAUUUGAACUUCCCCAAAUUACCCCUGAAUUCUACUAUUACUUCCAUGAUUCAAAACAGUAAGUAUUAAACCCCUUUAAAUUACAACUAACACUAAUUAUUAACUACUUAAACAACUACACAGCUAUAACAUACAUACAGUUAACCAACAAUCAGAAUCAAACAGACACACAGGUGAUUCCAAUGAUUUUGACAAAAGAGAGAGUAAACUAAUUAAUCGACGAAAACUACUCAAAUCGAUUAUGCAAUUUAUAACAUAUACUCAAACGAACAGAAGAAAUCAUAACCAAAUAAAAGAUCGGAUUGGAGAAGAGAAAACAGAAUGAUUUGACAAAAAUUAACAAAACCAAUAAACUACACUGAACAGAUAAACAAAUAUAGACACAACAUAGACAAAAAGGGGGAGGCAAAAAUACCUUGAAACUCAUAAACCAGAUGACCUUAAGUUUUCGUUCAUAAACUGAAGAAGAAGAUAAACGCGACACUGGUGGUUUCAGAGUCAGUUGACGAUGAGGCGGAGCUGCUGUUUUGUCGAGCUGUAGAAGAAGUCGACGAUGGAGCAGUUGGUGUUAUGGAGGUUGUUUCAGGCGGAGGAAAGGCUGGACGGACUGGAAGUCAUUUUGGACGUUGUUCGUUCAGGUGAGUGACAAGAGCGAUGGUGACUUUUUGGAGCUCGUGGUCGUAACGAUGGGGUAGUCGUUGGACGGGAAACGGGAAGGAGAAGACAACGAAGAUGAAGCAGUGGCAGUAGGAGACGGAAGGGGUCGUUUGGAGAAGAAGGUGGUCGACUGGGUAGUGUCACAUAGACGGUGACUGGUUCACGACGACAAUGGUUCCGGACGAUGAUGGGGUGGCGAGUUGGUUUUCUAUAAUGAGGGACGACGGGGAAGGGAGAGGCAGCGGCUGGGCUAUGGUUCCACUAGGUUUAGGGUUCUUUUGUUUGUUUGUUACGGAGAACAAGAAGAUAAGCUUCGUAGGGUUUGGUUAUUUUGGGGGUGGAAAUGGACCGGGUCAGGUUUGGUUAUAGGAUUGGGUCGUUGGGUGCUUUGGUUUGGG
rnacentral:lncRNA from 1 species